CGGGCCCACGACGCCCCGAAGCUCCGCUGCGGCAGCGGCCUUGGAGGCUUUCCCCCCCCAAUCUCCGGGAGCGGGGUUCCCGGGCGCUUGGACUUGGCGUGGGCGGGUGGCCGUGACGGGCCGUGCGGCCCGAGAUUCGAGGAUGGACGAGCAACCCGGUGCCCGAGGCCGCGCUCCGACCCGGUAAUUUACAAGAUUAAAAUUAAUGUGGUUGCAGAUGGCUGUGAACAAAUACAGCUUUUAUCCCAGGUGUGCCGUUUUGAGGACUGAGAUAGAGCUUAAUCUUUUAGAAUAAAGGAAGUAUGGAAAAGUCUGUAUUUUAUAUAGCAAAAAUGUAAGUCCCCAGAUGGAAUAAAGGCCUAUUCAACAUAGUAGACAUUGAUGGAAACAUUUACACCCAGUCAGCUUGACGAGUUUCAAAUGGACCCUUCCACUGAGAAAUCAAGAUGGCAGCCCACUGUGGGGAAUUGAGGAGGAUGGAUUUAUACAAGAAUGCUGUGAUAACAAACAACCAAGACAGGGUUCCUUUAACAUGGAUUUCAUGAAGUGAAUGAUUCUUACCCAGCACAAAUGGACAGUAAAUUUGACUUUCUAAAGAUACUUUUUGUAUCAUGCAUGUUUUUGACAUUUGGAGAAAAUGGCACGUUAAUGCAGAUGGUUGUUUGUAUGCUUGGAAUUUCUUGCAAUUUGAUCUGAUCUGAUGGAAUGUUAACUUCAAUAAAAUUUCUAACACUUACAAA